rnacentral:rRNA from 1 species
UACGGAGGGCGCGAGCGUUACCCGGAUUUACUGGGCGUAAAGGGCGUGUAGGCGGUCUGGGGCGUCCCAUGUGAAAGGCCACGGCUCAACCGUGGAGGAGCGUGGGAUACGCUCAGGCUAGACGGUGGGAGAGGGUGGUGGAAUUCCCGGAGUAGCGGUGAAAUGCGCAGAUACCGGGAGGAACGCCGAUGGCGAAGGCAGCCACCUGGUCCACUCGUGACGCUGAGGCGCGAAAGCGUGGGGAGCAAACCGG